GAUUCUCCGUCCCGGCCGCGGGCUGGAUCGCCCCGGGUUGGGGUCGCGGUGCCGCGUGCUGCUGGAGCCCCCCGAAACCGAGGGGAACGGCGCCGGGGACGCGGUGGAAGGGACGGCGUGCGGCCGACGGUGCCCGGUGAGUCCCCAAAACGCAACGAAAGACCCCAAAAAUCCAACCGAGGGGCUCCAAAAACCAACCGACGUCCCCAAGGAUCGCCGAAACGCGACGGAAGAGCCCAAAAAUCCAACGGUGGAGCCCAAAAACCGAAGGAAAGGCCCCGAAAAUUCAACAGAGGAGCUCCAAAAUUCAAAGGGAGACCCCAAAACUCCAACUGACCUCAACCAAAACCCAACGCAGGACCCCAAAAAUUCAACAGAAGACCCCAAAAAAUCAGCAGGGAACCUCGCGUGCCCUGGAGAUGUCAAUGAGAACCGAGCUGAGGGCUACAGAGACCCCAAAAACCCAACAGAAGACCCCGAAAGCCCAAGAAAAGAACCCAAAAUCCCAAUGGAAGACCCCCAAAAUCCACAAAGAGAUCCCAAAACCCCAACAAAAGACCCCAAAAGUCCAACUGAUGUCAACCAAAACCCAACGGGUGACCCCAAAACCCCAAUCGACCUCAACCAAAACCCAAGAGAAGACCCCAGAACCCCAAUGGAUGUCAAUGAAACCCAAGAGGAAGACCCCAAAAACCCAAGGAGAGACCCCAGAAGGCAAUCAGAAGACCUCAAAAUCCCAACGAAAUGCCCCAAAACCCCAAUGGACCUCGACCAAAAUCCAACGGAAGAACCCGAAACCCCAAGAGUAGACCCCAAAAACCCAGCAGGAGACCCCAAAACCCCAAGAACAGACCCCAACAGUCGAAUGGAAGACCUCAAAAUCCCAACGAAAUGCCCCCAAACCCCAACUGACCUCAACCAAAACCCAACGGAAGACCCCAAAACCCAAAGGGGAGACCCCAAAACCCCAACCGACCUCAACCAAAACCCAACGGAAGACCCCAAGAACGCAACCGACGUCAAUCAAAACCCGACACAAGACCCCAAAAACCCAAAAGAAGACCCCAAAAACCCAACAGAUGUCAAUCAGAACCCAGAAGACCCCCAAAUCCCAACAAAAUGCCCCAAAACCCCAAUGGACCUCGACCAAAACCCAACGGAAGACCCCAAAACCCAAAGGGGAGACCCCAAAACGCCAACCGACCUCAACCAAAACCCAAUGGAAGACCCCAAAGCCCCUACUGACCUCAACCAGAACCCAAUGGGUGACCCCAAAACCCAAAGGAGUGACCCCAAAACCCCAACCGACCUCAACCAGAACCCAACAGGUGACCCCAAAACCCAAAGCGGAGACCCCGAAACCCCAACCGACCUCAACCAAAACCCAACGGAAGACCCCAAAACCCCAACCAACCUCAACCAAAACCCAACAGAAGACCCCAAAACCCAAACAGGAGACCCCCAAACCCCAACAAAACACCCCAAAACCCCAACUGACCUCAACCAAAACCCAACGGAAGACCCCAAAACUCAACGGAAAGACCCCAAAACCCCAACAAAUGACCGCAAAAUCCCAAUGAAUGACCCCAAAACUCAACGGAGAGCCCGAAGAACGCAACAAAUGACCACAAGACUCCAACAAAUGAUCUCACAGACACAAGAAAGACCCCAAAAUCCCAAUGAAGGACCCCAAAAUCCCAAUGUCCCCCUCCCCCGUCCCCCCCAACCUGCACGGCCUUGACGAUGGCGACGACGCCGGUGGGCCAGAAGCAGCAGAGGGUGGUGAGCACGGCGAUGGGCAAGUAAUCAUGCGGGGGGGCACCGGGGGGAGGAGCGGGGAGCACCGGGCCGGGGCUGUACACCUACAGGUGGGCGGGGCUUUGGGUGGCUCCGCCCCCUCCAUAAGCUCCGCCUCCCCCACAUUCAUAAGCUCUCAUUC
ensembl:lncRNA